rnacentral:rRNA from 1 species
UACGUAGGUGACAAGCGUUGUCCGGAUUUACUGGGCGUAAAGAGCGCGCAGGCGGUCGAUCAAGUCGAGUGUGAAAGCCCCCGGCUCAACUGGGGAGGGUCAUUCGAUACUGAUCGACUCGAAGGCAGGAGAGGGUAGUGGAAUUCCCGGUGUAGUGGUGAAAUGCGUAGAUAUCGGGAGGAACACCAGUGGCGAAGGCGGCGACCUGGGUUGACACUGACGCUGAGGCGCGAAAGCGUGGGGAGCAAACAGG